rnacentral:rRNA from 1 species
UGCGUAGGUGGUUUGUUAAGUUGGAUGUGAAAGCCCCGGGCUCAACCUGGGAACUGCAUCCAAACUGGCAAGCUAGAGUACGGUAGAGGGUGGUGGAAUUUCCUGUGUAGCGGUGAAAUGCGUAGAUAUAGGAAGGAACACCAGUGGCGAAGGCGACCACCUGGACUGAUACUGACACUGAGGUGCGAAAGCGUGGGGAAGCAAACAG